rnacentral:rRNA from 1 species
CCAGCCACACUGGAACUGAGACACGGUCCAGACUCCUACGGGAGGCAGCAGUGGGGAAUAUUGCACAAUGGGCGCAAGCCUGAUGCAGCCAUGCCGCGUGUAUGAAGAAGGCCUUCGGGUUGUAAAGUACUUUCAGCGGGGAGGAAGGUGUUGUGGUUAAUAACCGCAGCAAUUGACGUUACCCGCAGAAGAAGCACCGGCUAACUCCGUGCCAGCAGCCGCGGUAAUACAGAGGGUGCAAGCGUUAAUCGGAAUUACUGGGCGUAAAGCGCACGCAGGCGGUCUGUCAAGUCGGAUGUGAAAUCCCCGGGCUCAACCUGGGAACUGCAUUCGAAACUGGCAGGCUUGAGUCUUGUAGAGGGGGGUAGAAUUCCAGGUGUAGCGGUGAAAUGCGUAGAGAUCUGGAGGAAUACCGGUGGCGAAGGCGGCCCCCUGGACAAAGACUGACGCUCAGGUGCGAAAGCGUGGGGAGCAAACAGGAUUAGAUACCCUGGUAGUCCACGCCGUAAACGAUGUCUACUUGGAGGUUGUGCCCUUGAGGCGUGGCUUCCGGAGCUAACGCGUUAAGUAGACCGCCUGGGGAGUACGGCCGCAAGGUUAAAACUCAAAUGAAUUGACGGGGGCCCGCACAAGCGGUGGAGCAUGUGGUUUAAUUCGAUGCAACGCGAAGAACCUUACCUGGUCUUGACAUCCACAGAACUUUCCAGAGAUGGAUUGGUGCCUUCGGGAACUGUGAGACAGGUGCUGCAUGGCUGUCGUCAGCUCGUGUUGUGAAAUGUUGGGUUAAGUCCCGCAACGAGCGCAACCCUUAUCCUUUGUUGCCAGCGAUUAGGUCGGGAACUCAAAGGAGACUGCCAGUGAUAAACUGGAGGAAGGUGGGGAUGACGUCAAGUCAUCAUGGCCCUUACGACCAGGGCUACACACGUGCUACAAUGGCGCAUACAAAGAGAAGCGACCUCGCGAGAGCAAGCGGACCUCAUAAAGUGCGUCGUAGUCCGGAUUGGAGUCUGCAACUCGACUCCAUGAAGUCGGAAUCGCUAGUAAUCGUGGAUCAGAAUGCCACGGUGAAUACGUUCCCGGGCCUUGUACACACCGCCCGUCACACCAUGGGAGUGGGUUGCAAAAGAAGUAGGUAGCUUAACCUUCGGGAGGGCGCUUACCACUUUGUGAUUCAUGACUGGGGUGAAGUCGUAACAAGGUAACCGUAGGGGAACCUGCGGUUGGA